UGAAGACAUGUCCUGCUGGCACCUGCAGUGGAAGGACACUUGUCAUUGGAUUUAGGACCCACUCAGAGAGUCCAAGAUGAUCUCAUCUGAGAUCCUUAACUUCAUUACAGCUGCAAAGACCUUUUUUCCAAGUGUAAUCCGUUUGCCUUUCACAAGGACGAG